rnacentral:rRNA from 1 species
ACUCAAAUGAAUUGACGGGGACCCGCACAAGCGGUGGAGCAUGUGGUUUAAUUCGAAACAAAGCGAAAAACCUUACCAAGGCUUGAAAAUAUAGCUGCAAGUCCGAUGGAAACAUUGGACCUUCUUCGAGAGUGCUAUAACAGGUGCUGCAUGGCUGUCGUCAGCUUGUACCGUGAGGCGCACCCUUAAGUGGGUCAACAAGCGCAACCCCCACUCUGUGUUAAAUAUUCACGGAGAACCGCUCGUUAAAAACGUUGAGGAAGGCGGGGAUGACGUCAAGUCAGCACGGCCCUUAUGCCUUGGGCUACACACAUCCUACAAUGGAUGUCUUACAGCGAGUUUGCAACACGGCAACGUGAAGCUAAUCUCACAAAAGCAUCCUCAGUUCAGAUUGAGGGCUGAAAUUCGCCCUCAUGAAGUUGAAAUCGCUAGUAAUCGCGGAUCAGCAGGCCGCGGUGAAUACGUUCUCGGGUCUUGUACACACCGCCCGU